rnacentral:tRNA from 1 species
UGGGCCGUAGCAUAACUGGCAAUGCACCUGGCUGUUAACCAGGCGAUUGGUGGUUCGACUCCACCCGGCCCAG